UACGAAGGGGGCUAGCGUUGUUCGGAAUUACUGGGCGUAAAGGGCGCGUAGGCGGCGUGUCAAGUCAGGCGUGAAAGCCCCGGGCUCAACCUGGGAACCGCGCUUGAGACUGGCAUGCUCGAGUUCGGGAGAGGAUGGUGGAAUUCCCAGUGUAGAGGUGAAAUUCGUAGAUAUUGGGAAGAACACCGAUGGCGAAGGCAGAUCUCUGGGCCGUAACUGACGCUGAGGAGCGAAAGCAUGGGGAGCGAACAGG
rnacentral:rRNA from 1 species